rnacentral:rRNA from 1 species
AGAGUUUGAUCCUGGCUCAGAGCGAACGCUGGCGGCAGGCUUAACACAUGCAAGUCGAGCGGGCGUACCAAUACGUCAGNGGCNGACGGGNGAGUAACGCGUGGGAACGUACCUUUUGGUUCGNAACAACACAGGGAAACUUGUGCUAAUACCGGAUAANCCCUUACGGNGAAAGAUUUAUCGCCGAAAGAUCGGCCCGAGNNUGAUUAGCUAGUUGGUGAGGUAAUGGNUCACCAAGGCGACGAUCANUAACUGNNCUGAGAGGAUGAUCAGCCACAUUGGNACUGAGACACGGCCCAAACUNNUACNGGAGGCANCAGNGGGNAAUAUUGGACAAUGGGCGCAGGCCUGAUCCAGCCAUGCCGCGUGAGUGAUGAAGGCCCUAGGGUUGUAAAGCUCUUUUGUGCGGGAAGAUAAUGACGGUACCGCAAGAAUAAGCCCCGGCUAACUUCGUGCCAGCAGCCGCGGUAAUACCAAGGGGGCUAGCGUUGCUCGGAAUCACUGGGCGUAAAGGGUGCGUACCGGGUCUUUAAGCCAUGUGUGAAAUCCUGGAGCUCAACUCCAGAACUGCCUUUGAUACUGAAGAUCUUGAGUUCCGCAGAGGUGAGUGGAACUGCUAGUGUAGAGGUGAAAUUCGUAGAUAUUCGCAAGAACACCAGUGGCNAAGCGGCUCACUGGCCCGAUACUGACGCUGAGGCACAAAAGCGUGGGGAGCACACAGGAUUAGGAUACCCNUGGUAGUCCACGCCGUAAACGAUGGAAUGCCACCCCGUUAGUGGGUUUACUCANUAGUGGCGCAGCUAACGCUUUAAGCAUUCCGCCUGGGGAGUACGGUCGCAAGAUUAAAACUCAAAUGAAUUGACGG